GUAGGGGAGCGUUCCAUGAACGGAGAAGUACGACCGAAAGGACGUGUGGAGAUCAUGGAAGAGAGAAUGCCGGUGUGAGUAGCGGAACGUGGGUGAGAAUCCCACGCACCGAAAACCCAAGGUUUCCAGAGGAAGGUUCGUCCGCUCUGGGUAAGUCGGGACCUAAGGCGAGGCCGAAAGGCGUAGUCGAUGGACAACAGGUAGAGAUUCCUGUACCCGUAUAUAUGUGAAGGAAUGACGGAGAGAGGAAGCUGCAGCCAGCGGCUGGAAGAGCUGGUGCAAGCGAGAUAUCGGGAUGGCAGGCAAAUCCACCAUCCGAAACGAGAAGGCGUGAAGCGUACGGAAAGCUACGGCGAGUACGGAAGGCAGUGGAGGAACUUCCAAGAAAAGUUUCUAACGUUAAGUAUAUAUGGCCCGUACCGAAAAUGGACACACAUGGGUGAGGAGAGAAUCCUAAGGUGAGCGAGAGAACUAUAGCUAAGGAACUCUGCAAAAUGACUCCGUAACUUAGGGAGAAGGAGUGCUCAUAGAGAUAUGAGCCGCAGUGAAACGGCCCAAGCGACUGUUUACCAAAAACACAGCUCUCUGCUAAGCCGCAAGGCGAAGUAUAGGGGGUGACGCCUGCCCGGUGCUGGAAGGUUAAGGGGAGGGGUUAACGCAAGUGAAGCCCUGAACUGAAGCCCCAGUAAACGGCGGCCGUAACUAUAACGGUCCUAAGGUAGCGAAAUUCCUUGUCAGGUAAGUUCUGACCCGCACGAAAGGCGUAACGAUUUGGGCGCUGUCUCAGCUGUAGACUCGGUGAAGUCUUAGUACCUGUGAAGAUGCAGGUUACCCGCGACUAGACGGAAAGACCCCAUGGAGCUUCACUGCAGGUUGAUAUUGGGAUUUGAUGCAGCAUGUACAGGAUAGGUAGGAGGCAAAGAGAUGGAUACGCCAGUAUUCAAGGAGCCGCUGUUGGGAUACUACCCCUGUUGUAUUGGAUUUCUAACCGGACGACGUAGAGCCGUUGACGGGACAGUGUCAGUCGGGCAGUUUGACUGGGGCGGUCGCCUCCCAAAGAGUAACGGAGGCGCCCAAAGAUACCCUCAGCUUGGAUGGAAACCAAGCGCAGAGUGCAAAGGCAAAAGGGUGUUUGACUGCGAGACCCACAAGUCGAGCAGGGACGAAAGUCGGGCUUAGUGAUCCGGCGGUGCUGAAUGGAAAGGCCGUCGCUCAACGGAUAAAAGCUACCCUGGGGAUAACAGGCUGAUCUCCCCCAA
rnacentral:rRNA from 1 species